rfam:Triticum urartu cultivar G1812 contig724839, whole genome shotgun sequence.
GUUGUACUUCCUCCGUUCUGGAAUACUCAUCGCGGAAAUGGAUGUAUCUAGAUGUAUUUUAGUUCUAGAUACAUUCAUUUCUGCGACGAGUAAUUUGGAACGGAGGGAGUAGCUG